GGACCAGAAGGUAUUGAGAGAGUGUUAGGGUUUAGGAAUAGAUUAGAGGGGUUAGGAAAGGGAAUUGAACAGUUUACAAUAUAUUGAACAAGCAGGAAUGAACAUAUAAGCUUAACAUGAGAAGUAGUGAUAUAAAGCAUACCAUAGUUCUGAAUACAAGUGAUUAGUUACACGUUCUAAUAUACUUGCACACCUGAAACAGUUCUAUAUUGAUUUUACUUAUGAUUUGUUCAAUAAGAAAAGAAUGUUUAAUCAAAACCCCUGAUUCAUAAGAUAUAUGACCCUUUGGGGUGGCAGCUCCUGGUAUGUGGGAGUUGAAUUGGUAUUAAUACCUGGUGGCAGCGAAAAAAGGCGAGUUUACCUUUGUGGAGUCCAAAGAAAUAAGGGGCGCAAAGGGGCAUCACCACAGCAUGCAUCUCUCUUUUUGCUUCUCUUGCAGGCUGCUGUCCCAAACACACUUACCAGAGUCCCCACUGAACACAAUGGACUGCACCUCUUGUGCUGUCAUUGUUUGAACUACUUCAGGCUGCAAUCGUACACCAUUUAUGAGCUGCUUCCCUUCACAACAGAGUCUUUUUACUUCUUCAUCACUCACUCAAGGUGGUGCAAAACCUCUCCAUUGAGUCUGGAAAGAAAGGGUUGAUUUCUUGUUUUUCUUUCUGGUGUGCAAAAUCAGGACAGAGGUGGAAGGAGAAGCCAGCUGCAAGCAGGACUGAGGAAUGGAGAAAGAUAGCAAAGGUAAAGAUGCAGGGAAAAGAGCAAAGACUAAAUGACUAAGGGAAUAAAAUACCCAGUGUGAUAUAUAGAGUGACGGAC
rnacentral:lncRNA from 1 species